rnacentral:hammerhead_ribozyme from 1 species
AUCCAACUGACGAGUCCCAAAUAGGGAGGAAUGCGCAUCUUGAAU